AGUCAUAUGCUUGUCUUAAAGAUUAAGCCAUGCAUGUCUAAGUAUAAAUAGUAUACAGUGAAACUGCGAAUGGCUCAUUAAAACAGUUAUAGUUUAUUUGAUAGUGCACAUUACAUGGAUAACCGUGGUAAUUCUAGAGCUAAUACAUGCGCAAAUACCUGACUCACGAAAGGUAGCAUUUAUUAGAUUUAACCAUCAUAUGGUGAAUCAUAGUAACUUGGCGGACCGCGCUCCGGCGUGGUAAAUCAUUCAAGUUUCUGCCCUAUCAGCUUUCGAUGGUAGUGUAUUGGACUACCAUGGCAGUCACGGGUAACGGAGAAUUAGGGUUCGAUUCCGGAGAGGGAGCCUGAGAAACGGCUACCACAUCUAAGGAAGGCAGCAGGCGCGUAAAUUACCCAAUCCCAAUUCGGGGAGGUAGUGACAAGAAAUAACAACCUGAGUGGUUCGCCACUUCGGGAUUGCAAUGAGAUAAGUCUAAAUCCGUAAGCGAUUACCAAUUGGAGGGCAAGUCUGGUGCCAGCAGCCGCGGUAAUUCCAGCUCCAAUAGCGUAUACUUAAGUUGUUGCAGUUAAAAAGCUCGUAGUUGAAAAUCGAAUCAGCUUCAUUAUGGCUUCGGUCAUACUUGUUAGCUGGUUCUCCGUCUACAAACCUUUUUGCUCUUUCACGAGUGCAGCUUGGAGAGUAGACAAUUUACCUUGAAAAAAUUAGAGUGUUCCAGGCAGGUCUUCGCCGGAAUACAUUAGCAUGGAAUAAUGGAAUAGGACUAUGGUCUUUUGUUGGUUUUAGGGCCAGUGUAAUGAUUAAUAGGGACAGAUGGGGGCAUUAGUAUUUAAUUGUCAGAGGUGAAAUUCUUGGAUUUAUUAAAGACUAACUUAUGCGAAAGCAUUUGCCAAGGAUGUUUUCAUUAAUCAAGAACGAAAGUUAGGGGAUCAAAGACGAUCAGAUACCGUCGUAGUCUUAACUAUAAACUAUACCGACUCGAGAUCGGAAGGCGUAAAUAUUAGGCCCUUUCGGCAUCGUAAGAGAAAUCAAAGUCUUUGGGUUCUGGGGGGAGUAUGGUCGCAAGGCUGAAACUUAAAGGAAUUGACGGAAGGGCACCACCAGGAGUGGAGCCUGCGGCUUAAUUUGACUCAACACGGGGAAACUUACCAGGUCAAAACAUGGAUGGGAUUGACAGAUUGAAAGCUCUUUCUUGAUUCUAUGGGUGGUGGUGCAUGGCCGUUCUUAGUUGGUGGAGUGAUUUGUCUGGUUAAUUCCGAUAACGAACGAGACCUUAACCUGCUAACUAGUUUGUUCCUAAAAAAGGAAUAUAUCUUCUUAGAGGGACUAUGUAUGUUAAAUGCAUGGAAGUUUAAGGCAAUAACAGGUCUGUGAUGCCCCUAGAUGUCCUGGGCCGCACGCGCGCUACACUGACACGUUCAGCGAGUUUAAUCUCCUAUCUCGAAAGGGUAUGGGAAAUCUUGUUAGGACGUGUCGUGCUGGGGAUAGAUCUUUGCAAUUAUAGAUCUUGAACGAGGAAUUCCUUGUAAGCACAGGUCAUCAGCCUGUGCUGAAUACGUCCCUGCCCUUUGUACACACCGCCCGUCGCUCCUACCGAUUUCGAGUGAUGUGGUGAACUAUCUGGACUGUGGACGGGCUUGAACCGUUCGCGGGAAGUUUCGUAAACCUUAUCACUUAGAGGAAGGAGAAGUCGUAACAAGGUUUCC
rnacentral:rRNA from 1 species